rnacentral:ncRNA from 1 species
AAAUAAGCAAUGAAAGGGACAAGUAUUAUAGACUACAGUUUUCAGAGAGGAGAUGCCACCGACUGUAAGCAUUUCUAAAUAUGACUAUGAGAAAAACUACCCUGGAGCUAUGGUUGAUUAGCUAUAAUUAGCAAAAUGCCAUCGGUGGAAGUCGUUAAAAUAUUUGAGAAGAAUUGAAUUAGUUUAAUUCAAUUUGGGUGGAACCACGGAUAUUAUGCAUUCGUCCCAAGC